rnacentral:rRNA from 1 species
UUUGUUGGAGAGUUUGAUCCUGGCUCAGGACGAACGCUGGCGGCGUGCUUAACACAUGCAAGUCGAGCGGAAAGGC